GACAGAGGGUGCAAUCGUUGUUCGGAAUUACUGGGCGUAAAGCGCGUGUAGGCGGCCCUGCAAGUCGGAUGUGAAAUCCCACGGCUCAACCGUGGAAGUGCAUUCGAAACUGCAGGGCUAGAGUCCUGGAGAGGAAGGUGGAAUGCUUGGUGUAGAGGUGAAAUGCGCAGAUAUCAGGAGGAACACCGGUGGCGAAGGCGGGUCUCUGGGCAGUUACUGACGCUGAGGAGCGAAAGCGUGGGGAGCGAACAGG
rnacentral:rRNA from 1 species